rnacentral:rRNA from 1 species
AUUCCAGCUCCAGUAGCGUAUAUUAAAGUUGUUGCAGUUAAAAAGCUCGUAGUUGGAUUUCUGAUAGUAGCGUUGGGCCCGCCCGGGUUACCGGUGUGAGUGCCUGUUCGCUCCUUUCAUCCUUCUAGAGAACGGUUCUCUCCUUCAUUGGCAGUGGGAUCGCAAUCUAGAUCUUUUACUUUGAAAAAAUUAGAGUGUUUAAAGCAGGCUUGUGCUAUGAAUACAUUAGCAUGGAAUAAUAAUUUAGGACUUUAGUUCUAUUUUGUUGGUUUCUAGAACUGAAGUAAUGAUUGACAGGGAUAGUUGGGGGUGCUAGUAUUCAGCGGCCAGAGGUGAAAUUCUUGGAUUCGCUGAAGACUAACUUAUGCGAAAGCAUUCACCAAGGAUGUCUUCAUUG